UCCUGGUUUUCGUUGUUUCUCAUUGGGCCAUUAAAUUGUUUAAAUUUCGAGUAUCAUUUGAGUAUCUCAUUGCCGGGCUGAGUGUCCUGGUUUUCG